rnacentral:rRNA from 1 species
CUCAGACGAACGCUGCGGCGUGCUAAUACAUGCAAGUCGAGCGCGGGAAGCAAGCUGAUCCUCUUCGGAGGUGACGCUUGUGGAACGAGCGGCGGACGGGUGAGUAACACGUGGGCAACCUGCCUGUAAGACUGGGAUAACCCCGGGAAACCGGGGCUAAUACCGGAUAAUACUUUUCAUCACCUGAUGGGAAGUUGAAAGGUGGCUUUUAGCUACCACUUACAGAUGGGCCCGCGGCGCAUUAGCUAGUUGGUGAGGUAACGGCUCACCAAGGCAACGAUGCGUAGCCGACCUGAGAGGGUGAUCGGCCACACUGGGACUGAGACACGGCCCAGACUCCUACGGGAGGCAGCAGUAGGGAAUCUUCCGCAAUGGACGAAAGUCUGACGGAGCAACGCCGCGUGAGUGAUGAAGGUUUUCGGAUCGUAAAGCUCUGUUGUCAGGGAAGAACAAGUGCCGUUCGAAUAGGGCGGCACCUUGACGGUACCUAACCAGAAAGCCCCGGCUAACUACGUGCCAGCAGCCGCGGUAAUACGUAGGGGGCAAGCGUUGUCCGGAAUUAUUGGGCGUAAAGCGCGCGCAGGCGGUCCUUUAAGUCUGAUGUGAAAGCCCACGGCUCAACCGUGGAGGGUCAUUGGAAACUGGAGGACUUGAGUACAGAAGAGGAGAGUGGAAUUCCACGUGUAGCGGUGAAAUGCGUAGAGAUGUGGAGGAACACCAGUGGCGAAGGCGACUCUCUGGUCUGUAACUGACGCUGAGGCGCGAAAGCGUGGGGAGCGAACAGGAUUAGAUACCCUGGUAGUCCACGCCGUAAACGAUGAGUGCUAGGUGUUAGGGGGUUUCCGCCCCUUAGUGCUGAAGUUAACG